rnacentral:rRNA from 1 species
CGUAUGGUUGGACACCGAGCCUAUGUAAAGCUCCUUCAACGAGUCGAGUAGUUUGGGAAUGCUGCUCAAAAUGGGAGGUAAACCCCUUCUAAAGCUAAAUACCGGCCAGAUACCGAUAGCGCACAAGUAGAGUGAUCGAAAGAUGAAAAGCACUUUGAAAAGAGAGUUAAAUAAGCACGUGAAAUUGUUGAAAGGGAAGCGCUUGCGACCAGACUUGCGCCCGUCGGAUCAACCGUCGCUUGCGGCGGCUCACUCCGGCGGGCUCAGGCCAGCAUCAGCUUUCCGGGGGGGAGAAAGGCGGUGGGAACGUAGCUCCUCGGAGUGUUAUAGCCCGCCGCGUAAUACCCCCUGGGGGGCUGAGGACCGCGCAUCUGCAAGGAUGCUGGCGUAAUGGUUGUCAGCGACCCGUCUUGAAACACGGACCAAGGAGUCGUCCUAAUAUGCGAGUGUACGGGUGUCAAACCCCUGCGCGUAAUGAAAGUGAACGUAGGUGAGAGCUUCGGCGCAUCAUCGACCGAUCCUGAUGUUCUCGGAUGGAUUUGAGUAAGAGCAUAUUGGGCCGGACCCGAAAGAAGGUGAACUAUGCCUGUAUAGGGUGAAGCCAGAGGAAACUCUGGUGGAGGCUCGCAGCGGUUCUGACGUGCAAAUCGAUCGUCAAAUAUGGGCAUGGGGGCGAAAGACUAAUCGAACCUUCUAGUAGCUGGUUUCCGCCGAAGUUUCCCUCAGGAUAGCAGUGUUGAAUUCUCAGUUUUAUGAGGUAAAGCGAAUGAUUAGGGACUCGGGGGCGCUAUUUAGCCUUCAUCCAUUCUCAAACUUUAAAUAUGUAAGAAGCCCUUGUUACUUCAUUGAACGUGGGCCUUCGAAUGUAUCAACACUAGUGGGCCAUUUUUGGUAAGCAGAACUGGCGAUGCGGGAUGAACCGAUCGCGGGGAUAAGGUGCCGGAGUGGACGCUCAUCAGACACCACAAAAGGUGUUAUCACAUCUUGACAGCAGGACGGUGGCCAUGGAAGUCGGAAUCCGCUAAGGACUGUGUAACAACUCACCUGC